GACGAACGCUGGCGGCGUGCCUAAUACAUGCAAGUAGAACGCUGAAGGAGGAGCUUGCUUCUCUGGAUGAGUUGCGAACGGGUGAGUAACGCGUAGGUAACCUGCCUGGUAGCGGGGGAUAACUAUUGGAAACGAUAGCUAAUACCGCAUAAGAGUAGAUGUUGCAUGACAUUUGUUUAAAAGGUGCAAUUGCAUCACUACCAGAUGGACCUGCGUUGUAUUAGCUAGUUGGUGGGGUAACGGCUCACCAAGGCGACGAUACAGAGCCGACCGGAGAGGGUGAUCGGCCGCACUGGGACUGAGACACGGCCCAGACUCCUUCGGGAGGCAGCAGGAGGGAAUCUUCGGCAAUGGACGGAAGUCUGACCGAGCAACGCCGCGUGAGGGAAGAAGGUUUUCGGGUCGUAAAGCUCUGUUGUAAGGGAAGAACGAGUGUUAGAGUGGAAAGUUCACACUGUGACGGUAUCUUACCAGAAAGGGACGGCUAACUACGUG
rnacentral:rRNA from 1 species